CAGUAGCCGCGGUAAUACGAAGGGUGCAAGCGUUACUCGGAAUUACUGGGCGUAAAGCGUGCGUAGGUGGUGGUUUAAGUCCGUUGUGAAAGCCCUGGGCUCAACCUGGGAAUUGCAGUGGAUACUGGGUCACUAGGGUGUGGUAGGGGAUAGUGGAAUUUCCGGUGUAGCAGUGAAAUGCGUAGAGAUCGGAAGGAACAUCUGUGGCGAAGGGGACUAUCUGGGCCAACACUGACACUGAGGCACGAAAGCGUGGGGAGCAAACAGGAUUAGAUACCCGCGUAGUCCCUGUCUCUUAUAA
rnacentral:rRNA from 1 species